GGGGAUGUAGCUCAGAUGGUAGAGCGCUCGCUUAGCAUGCGAGAGGUAUGGGGUACCCCACUUCUCCA
rnacentral:tRNA from 1 species